AGUAAAUACUAUGGCAAUGAAAACUUUAUUUUCCUGUUUAUUGCACACCUAUAAGCAUAAAAUGAGUUGUAUAGCAAUUCGUGUAACAUAAAGCAUUUGUAAUGUUUUCAUACGUUUGUUCAGUCAUAAGCUUACUUACGAUUUUAGUCUAUGGCACUCAUGCCCAAGGUAAUGAAAUAGAAGAGGAAGAUUUGACUAGGUAUUAUAAAGAAAAUGAUUACAAACCACCUUUGUUUGGAUCGAACUCGUAUGAUCCAAUAAAAGAAAUCUUUCAUCCUCCGAAACAUCAUAAACACGAGCAGUCUAACUCUGCAACUGUAUAUGCUGCAUCUACAAAAGUUUCUACAUCAACACAUGAAACGCAAGAUGUGCAAGAAGGGCAGACGGGGUCAAUAGGUGCGGAUUCCACAGUCCAUGAGGUCAAAUAUACGUCCACUUCUCACUCGCCAAACGUACAAAGCCAAGAACAGGAAACGGAAAAUAAAGCUUAUUUUAGAAAUCAAGCGUCUAAACCACAUGGUGCUCUUAGACAAUCCAAUCAGCUUGUUGACAGUAAGCAACCAGAAAAACAGUAUAAAAACAAAAUUGAUAUAAAUACCACUAAAUUGAAGCGACCAAGUCUUAGGAAUAGAAAAAAGACUGUUAAUAUAUUGGCGUUAAAACAGACGACGAAAGCUUAAGUGUGAUAUUCAGAUCUGGUAGGCGUUCAAUUCAAUAUCACAUAUUAUAACACUAAGGGCCUGUUUCACCACUUUUAGAAAAUAUAAUUUUAUAACCUGACAGAUAAACUUCUGAUGUGAUUAGCCGUAAACCCUAUCAAACACUUGUGAGCUACAAUUUUAACGCUAUCUGUGUGAUGUUAUAUUUAGGUUAUCGGAUAGUUUAUCAGCAAGCAGUGAAACAGGCCCUUAAAUACUAAGUUCCCUCCAUGACAUCAACUUUCCCAGUAUAAUAAAGUUGUCCAUAUGAAUAUUCAA